UACAGAGGUCCCAAGCGUUGUUCGGAUUCACUGGGCGUAAAGGGUGCGUAGGUGGCCGGGUAAGUCUGGUGUGAAAUCUCCGAGCUCAACUCGGAAACUGCAUUGGAUACUAUCCGGCUAGAGGAUCGAGGGGAGACUGGAAUACUUGGUGUAGCAGUGAAAUGCGUAGAUAUCAAGUGGAACACCAGUGGCGAAGGCGAGUCUCUGGACGAUUCCUGACGCUGAGGCACGAAAGCUAGGGGAGCAAACAGG
rnacentral:rRNA from 1 species